GAUGAACGCUGGCGGCGCGCCUAACACAUGCAAGUCGAACGGCACCUAUCUUCGGAUAGAAGCGAGUGGCGAACGGCUGAGUAACACGUGGAGAACCUGCCCCCUCCCCCGGGAUAGCCGCCCGAAAGGACGGGUAAUACCGGAUACCCCGGGGUGCCGCAUGGCACCCCGGCUAAAGCCCCGAGGGGAGGGGAUGGCUCCGCGGCCCAUCAGGUAGACGGCGGGGUGACGGCCCACCGUGCCGACAACGGGUAGCCGGGUUGAGAGACCGACCGGCCAGAUUGGGACUGAGACACGGCCCAGACUCCUACGGGAGGCAGCAGUGGGGAAUCUUGCGCAAUGGGGGGAACCCUGACGCAGCGACGCCGCGUGCGGGACGGAGGCCUUCGGGUCGUAAACCGCUUUCAGCAGGGAAGAGUCAAGACUGUACCUGCAGAAGAAGCCCCGGCUAACUACGUGCCAGCAGCCGCGGUAAUACGUAGGGGGCGAGCGUUAUCCGGAUUCAUUGGGCGUAAAGCGCGCGUAGGCGGCCCGGCAGGCCGGGGGUCGAAGCGGGGGGCUCAACCCCCCGAAGCCCCCGGAACCUCCGCGGCUUGGGUCCGGUAGGGGAGGGUGGAACACCCGGUGUAGCGGUGGAAUGCGCAGAUAUCGAGUGGAACACCGGUGGCGAAGGCGGCCCUCUGGGCCGAGACCGACGCUGAGGCGCGAAAGCUGGGGGAGCGAACAGGAUUAGAUACCCUGGUAGUCCCAGCCGUA
rnacentral:rRNA from 1 species